AGAAAAAAAGUACAUACCUAAAUAAAACCCAAGCAGCUCUGCUCUCUUCACUCAGCUUGCGAGUAUCUUUAGUUCACUAGCAAUUUUAUUCUGGAAUGAGCUUUUUAUUUUCCUCCCUGGUCUCAUCAUUUCUUUUUAUUACUUUCUCCAGCCCAAGAAUCUAUCAUUUUGAAGCCGAAGAUGGCCUUAGAGGUGGGUGACUACAAAAUCAAUCUCAAGCUCAUGGAUAACCAGAAUAAAGACCAAGUGACCACCUUAGAGGUCAGCGUGUGUGACUGUGAAGGGGUCGCCGGCGUCUGUAAGAAGGCACAGCCUAUCGAAGCAGGAUUGCAAAUUCCUGCCAUUCUGGGGAUUCUUGGAGGAAUUCUUGCUUUGCUAAUUCUGAUUCUGCUGCUCCUGCUGUUUCUUCGGAGGAGAGCGGUGGUCAAAGAGCCCUUACUGCCCCCAGAGGAUGACACCCGGGACAACGUUUAUUACUAUGACGAAGAAGGAGGCGGAGAAGAGGACCAGGACUUUGACUUGAGCCAGUUGCACAGGGGCCUGGACGCUCGGCCUGAAGUGACUCGUAAUGAUGUCGCGCCAACACUCAUGAGUGUCCCCCGGUACCUUCCCCGCCCUGCCAAUCCCGAUGAAAUUGGAAAUUUUAUUGAUGAAAACCUGAAGGCGGCUGAUACUGACCCCACAGCCCCGCCUUAUGAUUCUCUGCUCGUGUUUGACUAUGAAGGAAGCGGUUCCGAAGCUGCUAGUCUGAGCUCCCUGAACUCCUCAGAGUCAGACAAAGACCAGGACUAUGACUACUUGAACGAAUGGGGCAAUCGCUUCAAGAAGCUGGCAGACAUGUACGGAGGCGGCGAGGACGACUAGGGGACUCAAGAGAGGCGGGCCCUAGACCCGUGUGCUGGGAAAUGCAGAAAUCAUGUUGCUGGUGGUUUUUCAGCUCCCUUCCCUU
rnacentral:sRNA from 1 species